CCUACGGGAGGCAGCAGUGGGGAAUUUUGCGCAAUGGGGGCAACCCUGACGCAGCAACGCCGCGUGAGUGAUGAAGGCCUUCGGGUCGUAAAGCUCUGUCAGAGGGGAAGAAAUGCAGGUGGUGAACAACCAUUCUGUUUGACGGUACCCUCAAAGGAAGCACCGGCUAACUCCGUGCCAGCAGCCGCGGUAAUACGGAGGGUGCAAGCGUUGUUCGGAAUUAUUGGGCGUAAAGCGCGUGUAGGCGGUUUGUUAAGUCGGAUGUAAAAGCCCCGGGCUCAACCGGGAAAGUGCAUUGGAUACUGGCAGACUUGAGUACGGGAGAGGAGAGUGGAAUUCCCGGUGUAGAGGUGAAAUUCGUAGAUAUCGGGAGGAACACCGGUGGCGAAGGCGACUCUCUGGCCCGAUACUGACGCUGAGACGCGAAAGCGUGGGGAGCAAACAGGAUUAGAUACCCCUGUAGU
rnacentral:rRNA from 1 species